rnacentral:rRNA from 1 species
GUUAUCCAAGAUAGAAUCUUAGUUCAACCUUGAGCUUACCUACAGAACCACUGAACCCUUUUGUAAACUCAAUUGUUAGUCCAAAGAGGGACAGCUCUUUGGACACUAGGAAAAAACCUUACAUAGAGAGUAAAAACCAUAACUACCAUAGUUGGCCCAAAAGCAGCCAUCAAUUAAGAAAGCGUUCAAGCUCAACAUUAACCACCCGAAAAAUACCAAACAUAUAACCGAACUCCUCAUCUCACAUUGGAUCAAUCUAUCACUUCAUAGAAGCAAUACUGUUAGUAUAAGUAACAUGAAUAUUUUCUCCACCGCAUAAGCCUAAGUCAGACCGAAAACCUCACCGACACUUAACAGUUCAGUAUCAACAAACACAAACAAGCUAAUACUACUUUCACUGUUAAUCCAACACAGGCAUGCCCUAAGGAAGGUUACAAAAAGUAAAAGGAACUCGGCAAAACUAAACCCCGCCUGUUUACCAAAAACAUCACCUCUAGCAUUACUAGUAUUAGAGGCACCGCCUGCCCAGUGACACACGUUUAACGGCCGCGGUACCCUU